AAACGACUCUCGGCAACGGAUAUCUCGGCUCACGCAUCGAUGAAGAACGUAGCAAAAUGCGAUACUUGGUGUGAAUUGCAGAAUCCCGUGAACCAUCGAGUUUUUGAACGCAAGUUGCGCCYRAAGCCUCYGGUUGAGGGCACGUCUGCCUGGGCGUCACGCA
rnacentral:rRNA from 1 species